rnacentral:tRNA from 1 species
CCGACCUUAGCUCAGUUGGUAGAGCGGAGGACUGUAGUUGGUUCAACAGAUAUCCUUAGGUCGCUGGUUCGAAUCCGGCAGGUCGGA